ACUCCUGCGGGAGGCAGCAGUGGGGAAUAUUGCACAAUGGGCGCAAGCCUGAUGCAGCCAUGCCGCGUGUAUGAAGAAGGCCUUCGGGUUGUAAAGUACUUUCAGCGGGGAGGAAGGCGAUAAGGUUAAUAACCUUGUUGAUUGACGUUACCCGCAGAAGAAGCACCGGCUAACUCCGUGCCAGCAGCCGCGGUAAUACGGAGGGUGCAAGCGUUAAUCGGAAUUACUGGGCGUAAAGCGCACGCAGGCGGUCUGUCAAGUCGGAUGUGAAAUCCCCGGGCUCAACCUGGGAACUGCAUUCGAAACUGGCAGGCUAGAGUCUUGUAGAGGGGGGUAGAAUUCCAGGUGUAGCGGUGAAAUGCGUAGAGAUCUGGAGGAAUACCGGUGGCGAAGGCGGCCCCCUGGACAAAGACUGACGCUCAGGUGCGAAAGCGUGGGGAGCAAACAGGAUUAGAAACCCCGGUAGUCC
rnacentral:rRNA from 1 species